rnacentral:rRNA from 1 species
UGGGGAAUAUUGCGCAAUGGGGGGAACCCUGACGCAGCCAUGCCGCGUGAAUGAAGAAGGCCUUCGGGUUGUAAAGUUCUUUCGGUAUUGAGGAAGGUUGAUGUGUUAAUAGCACAUCAAAUUGACGUUAAAUACAGAAGAAGCACCGGCCAACUCCGUGCCAGCAGCCGCGGUAAUACGGAGGGUGCGAGCGUUAAUCGGAAUAACUAGGCGUAAAGGGCACGCAGGCGGUUAUUUAAGUGAGGUGUGAAAGCCCCGGGCUUAACCUGGGAAUUGCAUUUCAGACUGGGUAACUAGAGUACUUUAGGGAGGGGUAGAAUUCCACGUGUAGCGGUGAAAUGCGUAGAGAUGUGGAGGAAUACCGAAGGCGAAGGCAGCCCCUUGGGAAUGUACUGACGCUCAUGUGCGAAAGCGUGGGGAGCAAACAGGAUUAGAUACCCUGGUAGUCCAUGCUGUAAACGCUGUCGAUUUGGGGGUUGGGGUUUAACUCUGGCGCCCGUAGCUAACGUGAUAAAUCGACCGCCUGGGGAGUACGGCCGCAAGGUUA